rnacentral:rRNA from 1 species
GGGUUGUGAGGUUAAGCGACUAAGCGUACACGGUGGAUGCCCUGGCAGUCAGAGGCGAUGAAGGACGUGCUAAUCUGCGAUAAGCGUCGGUAAGGUGAUAUGAACCGUUAUAACCGGCGAUUUCCGAAUGGGGAAACCCAGUGUGAUUCGUCACACUAUCAUUAACUGAAUCCAUAGGUUAAUGAGGCGAACCGGGGGAACUGAAACAUCUAAGUACCCCGAGGAAAAGAAAUCAACCGAGAUUCCCCCAGUAGCGGCGAGCGAACGGGGAGCAGCCCAGAGCCUGAAUCAGUGUGUGUGUUAGUGGAAGCGUCUGGAAAGGCGUGCGAUACAGGGUGACAGCCCCGUACACAAAAAUGCACAUGCUGUGAGCUCGAUGAGUAGGGCGGGACACGUGGUAUCCUGUCUGAAUAUGGGGGGACCAUCCUCCAAGGCUAAAUACUCCUGACUGACCGAUAGUGAACCAGUACCGUGAGGGAAAGGCGAAAAGAACCCCGGCGAGGGGAGUGAAAAAGAACCUGAAACCGUGUACGUACAAGCAGUGGGAGCACAGAGCAAUCUGUGUGACUGCGUACCUUUUGUAUAAUGGGUCAGCGACUUAUAUUCUGUAGCAAGGUUAACCGAAUAGGGGAGCCGAAGGGAAACCGAGUCUUAACUGGGCGUUAAGUUGCAGGGUAUAGACCCGAAACCCGGUGAUCUAGCCAUGGGCAGGUUGAAGGUUGGGUAACACUAACUGGAGGACCGAACCGACUAAUGUUGAAAAAUUAGCGGAUGACUUGUGGCUGGGGGUGAAAGGCCAAUCAAACCGGGAGAUAGCUGGUUCUCCCCGAAAGCUAUUUAGGUAGCGCCUCGUGAAUUCAUCUCCGGGGGUAGAGCACUGUUUCGGCAAGGGGGUCAUCCCGACUUACCAACCCGAUGCAAACUGCGAAUACCGGAGAAUGUUAUCACGGGAGACACACGGCGGGUGCUAACGUCCGUCGUGAAGAGGGAAACAACCCAGACCGCCAGCUAAGGUCCCAAAGUCAUGGUUAAGUGGGAAACGAUGUGGGAAGGCCCAGACAGCCAGGAUGUUGGCUUAGAAGCAGCCAUCAUUUAAAGAAAGCGUAAUAGCUCACUGGUCGAGUCGGCCUGCGCGGAAGAUGUAACGGGGCUAAACCAUGCACCGAAGCUGCGGCAGCGACGCUUAUGCGUUGUUGGGUAGGGGAGCGUUCUGUAAGCCUGCGAAGGUGUGCUGUGAGGCAUGCUGGAGGUAUCAGAAGUGCGAAUGCUGACAUAAGUAACGAUAAAGCGGGUGAAAAGCCCGCUCGCCGGAAGACCAAGGGUUCCUGUCCAACGUUAAUCGGGGCAGGGUGAGUCGACCCCUAAGGCGAGGCCGAAAGGCGUAGUCGAUGGGAAACAGGUUAAUAUUCCUGUACUUGGUGUUACUGCGAAGGGGGGACGGAGAAGGCUAUGUUGGCCGGGCGACGGUUGUCCCGGUUUAAGCGUGUAGGCUGGUUUUCCAGGCAAAUCCGGAAAAUCAAGGCUGAGGCGUGAUGACGAGGCACUACGGUGCUGAAGCAACAAAUGCCCUGCUUCCAGGAAAAGCCUCUAAGCAUCAGGUAACAUCAAAUCGUACCCCAAACCGACACAGGUGGUCAGGUAGAGAAUACCAAGGCGCUUGAGAGAACUCGGGUGAAGGAACUAGGCAAAAUGGUGCCGUAACUUCGGGAGAAGGCACGCUGAUAUGUAGGUGAAGUCCCUCGCGGAUGGAGCUGAAAUCAGUCGAAGAUACCAGCUGGCUGCAACUGUUUAUUAAAAACACAGCACUGUGCAAACACGAAAGUGGACGUAUACGGUGUGACGCCUGCCCGGUGCCGGAAGGUUAAUUGAUGGGGUCAGCGCAAGCGAAGCUCUUGAUCGAAGCCCCGGUAAACGGCGGCCGUAACUAUAACGGUCCUAAGGUAGCGAAAUUCCUUGUCGGGUAAGUUCCGACCUGCACGAAUGGCGUAAUGAUGGCCAGGCUGUCUCCACCCGAGACUCAGUGAAAUUGAACUCGCUGUGAAGAUGCAGUGUACCCGCGGCAAGACGGAAAGACCCCGUGAACCUUUACUAUAGCUUGACACUGAACAUUGAGCCUUGAUGUGUAGGAUAGGUGGGAGGCUUUGAAGUGUGGACGCCAGUCUGCAUGGAGCCGACCUUGAAAUACCACCCUUUAAUGUUUGAUGUUCUAACGUUGACCCGUGAUCCGGGUUGCGGACAGUGUCUGGUGGGUAGUUUGACUGGGGCGGUCUCCUCCUAAAGAGUAACGGAGGAGCACGAAGGUUGGCUAAUCCUGGUCGGACAUCAGGAGGUUAGUGCAAUGGCAUAAGCCAGCUUGACUGCGAGCGUGACGGCGCGAGCAGGUGCGAAAGCAGGUCAUAGUGAUCCGGUGGUUCUGAAUGGAAGGGCCAUCGCUCAACGGAUAAAAGGUACUCCGGGGAUAACAGGCUGAUACCGCCCAAGAGUUCAUAUCGACGGCGGUGUUUGGCACCUCGAUGUCGGCUCAUCACAUCCUGGGGCUGAAGUAGGUCCCAAGGGUAUGGCUGUUCGCCAUUUAAAGUGGUACGCGAGCUGGGUUUAGAACGUCGUGAGACAGUUCGGUCCCUAUCUGCCGUGGGCGCUGGAGAACUGAGGGGGGCUGCUCCUAGUACGAGAGGACCGGAGUGGACGCAUCACUGGUGUUCGGGUUGUCAUGCCAAUGGCACUGCCCGGUAGCUAAAUGCGGAAGAGAUAAGUGCUGAAAGCAUCUAAGCACGAAACUUGCCCCGAGAUGAGUUCUCCCUGACUCCUUGAGAGUCCUGAAGGAACGUUGAAGACGACGACGUUGAUAGGCCGGGUGUGUAAGCGCAGCGAUGCGUUGAGCUAACCGGUACUAAUGAACCGUGAGGCUUAACCUUACAACGCCGAAGGUGUUU